rnacentral:rRNA from 1 species
UCGUGGAGUGAUCUGUCUUGUUAAUUCAGAUAACGAACGAGACCUAAGCCUUUAACUAGCCGUAGGCCCUUUUCUUCGGAGAAGGGUUAGUUUGUUGGAGCAAGCUUUUAGUUUGUUCCUAAACCUACGUGACAUUUGUCAGCUUCUUAAAGGGACUUCAUUCGUUCUUGUAGAAUGAGGAAGAUUUAGGCCAUAACA